rnacentral:rRNA from 1 species
ACGGGUGAGUAAUAUAUCGGAACGUACCCUAGAGUGGGGGAUAACGCAGCGAAAGUUGCGCUAAUACCGCAUACGAUCUACGGAUGAAAGUGGGGGAUCGCAAGACCUCAUGCUCAUGGAGCGGCCGAUAUCUGAUUAGCUAGUUGGUAGGGUAAAAGCCUACCAAGGCUUCGAUCAGUAGCUGGUCUGAGAGGACGACCAGCCACACUGGAACUGAGACACGGUCCAGACUCCUACGGGAGGCAGCAGUGGGGAAUUUUGGACAAUGGGCGCAAGCCUGAUCCAGCAAUGCCGCGUGAGUGAAGAAGGCCUUCGGGUUGUAAAGCUCUUUUGUCAGGGAAGAAACGGUGGACUCUAAUACAGAUCACUAAUGACGGUACCUGAAGAAUAAGCACCGGCUAACUACGUGCCAGCAGCCGCGGUAAUACGUAGGGUGCAAGCGUUAAUCGGAAUUACUGGGCGUAAAGCGUGCGCAGGCGGUUGUGCAAGACAGAUGUGAAAUCCCCGGGCUCAACCUGGGAAUUGCAUUUGUGACUGCACGGCUAGAGUGUGUCAGAGGGGGGUAGAAUUCCACGUGUAGCA